UACGGAGGGGGCUAGCGUUGUUCGGAAUUACUGGGCGUAAAGCGCACGUAGGCGGCUUUUUAAGUCAGAGGUGAAAGCCCGGGGCUCAACUCCGGAACUGCCUUUGAGACUGGGAGGCUCGAACGUCGGAGAGGUGAGUGGAAUUCCGAGUGUAGAGGUGAAAUUCGUAGAUAUUCGGAAGAACGCCAGUGGCGAAGGCGGCUCACUGGACGACUGUUGACGCUGAGGUGCGAAAGCGUGGGGAGCAAACAGG
rnacentral:rRNA from 1 species